CCUACGGGAGGCAGCAGUGGGGAAUAUUGGACAAUGGGGGGAACCCUGAUCCAGCCAUGCCGCGUGUGUGAAGAAGGCCCUCGGGUUGUAAAGCACUUUCAGUGAGGAAGAACGCCUGGUGGUUAAUACCCAUCUGGAAAGACAUCACUCACAGAAGAAGCACCGGCUAACUCCGUGCCAGCAGCCGCGGUAAUACGGAGGGUGCGAGCGUUAAUCGGAAUUACUGGGCGUAAAGCGCGCGUAGGUGGCUUGAUAAGCCGGUUGUGAAAGCCCCGGGCUCAACCUGGGAACGGCAUCCGGAACUGUCAAGCUAGAGUGCAGGAGAGGAAGGUAGAAUUCCCGGUGUAGCGGUGAAAUGCGUAGAGAUCGGGAGGAAUACCAGUGGCGAAGGCGGCCUUCUGGACUGACACUGACGCUGAGGUGCGAAAGCGUGGGUAGCAAACAGGAUUAGAUACCCGUGUAGUC
rnacentral:rRNA from 1 species